UAUGAUGUUUUCCUUAAAUAC
rnacentral:piRNA from 1 species